AUGCACUUGAAUAAUUCUGAAACCAUCCCCCAACCCCAUCAGUGGAAAAAAUGUCUUCUACAGAACCAGUCCCUGGUGCCAGAAAGAUUGGGAACUGCUGCUGCAAUACAUAUCUCAUUCUGUUACCCUCACCCCCACCCCCCACAGGGAGAAACUAAGAUGCAGGCUAGUGAGGGGACUGGCCCAGUGUCACACAGCCUAUGUUCAGCAGAAGCACGAUUCAAACGGUGGCCUGCCACACUGAAAAGUCCACGCUUUCUGCUAAACCACAGAUCAGCCGCAAGGAUUAUAAUGUUGGAGAGGGGAUUAACCACCCAAGAGUACUCAUUGCCUUCACUUCUGCAAAAAUAACUCAACCCAGCGCGGAAUAAACUCCAACACUGAUCGGUUUUCAAGAAGUUAACCUAAGACAAAAUACUGCUAGAGGGCAGCAGCAAUUUGGAAUCAUUAAAGGGAACCCAUGUAAAUAAUAAAAACAAAACUAAAAUGCAGAAUUAAAUUAAGGAAUAGGAAAUUAAAUUUGUGAAUCUGAUCUGAAAUUGAGGCCCUAUAUGCACAGGCUUUACCCUGGCUUGGCUCUUUGAUCAGGAGGGCUGGGGCAGGAAGGUUCUGCAGAGGUUCCCAGCCCAGGGAAGCAGCGGACAGGAGUGCGCACACCAGCCUCGCCUCCUGGGGUGACAGUGUGCUGUCCUGGGAAGAGGGCUGUGGGCUCGCAGGGAGUAAAGGGACUUCCCUCCCACGAGGCCCUCUCGGAGGAAGAUGAGAGUCGCAUCAUCCCAGCUACUUCUGGAUGACUUAUAUCGAGUGCCAGUGACUAGUGAAGGAGAACCAACAGCCUGCAGCUGAGAGGCUGCGCUGCCGCCACUGGAGACUGCUCAGGAAAUGAGGCAGAUGGAUGCAGGCUGGCUACACCGAGAUGCUGAGAGCAGACACAGGCAGAGUGGCCUUUCCAGUCCCGCUCCACCCCGGUGUUCUGGUCACCCUCCCACAGGUAACUCAGCUUGGGACAGGGACUGGGGUCUUGUCCCCUGCCCUAGCAGUAGCCCCUAAGUGCUGAAGACUAUUUAAUGUACAGAUGUGGAGAUGCAGAUUCCAACACCAGACAAAUAGUCAUCUCGUCAGGUAAAGAGGGAGACAGGGAAGAGAGAUAAGUGGGGGCGGGGGNNNNNNNNNNNNNNNNNNNNNNNNNNNNNNNNNNNNNNNNNNNNNNNNNNNNNNNNNNNNNNNNNNNNNNNNNNNAUGGCUCAGACUUCAUUCUGUAGUUUACCAGGACUUUUAGACCAUGUUCUUAGGGUAGCUUCUCUCCUUCCUCCUGCCCCCAGCUCCAUGCAGCUCUCUUCUCUUUCCCCCUCCUCCAUUCUCCAAGGGGAAGGAGUCUGGCUUGCAGAGUCAAACAGACUGGUUUGAGUCACAGUUCUUUCUCUUACUUAGUACUGUAGCUGAGGGUACUAUCUCGCCUUUCUUCCCCUCAGUUUCCUCAUGUGUUGUUCAGUUGCUCAGUCGUGUCUGACUCUUUGUGACCCCAUGGACU
rnacentral:lncRNA from 1 species